rnacentral:rRNA from 1 species
AGUGAACGCUGGCGGUAGGCCUAACACAUGCAAGUCGAACGGCAGCACAGUAAGAGCUUGCUCUUACGGGUGGCGAGUGGCGGACGGGUGAGGUAUACAUCGGAAUCUACUUUUUCGUGGGGGAUAACGUAGGGAAACUUACGCUAAUACCGCAUACGACCUACGGGUGAAAGCAGGGGAUCUUCGGACCUUGCGCGAUUGAAUGAGCCGAUGUCGGAUUAGCUAGUUGGCGGGGUAAAGGCCCACCAAGGCGACGAUCCGUAGCUGGUCUGAGAGGAUGAUCAGCCACACUGGAACUGAGACACGGUCCAGACUCCUACGGGGGGCAGCAGUGGGGAAUAUUGGACAAGGGGCGCAAGCCUGAUCCAGCCAUACCGCGUGGGUGAAGAAGGCCUUCGGGUUGUAAAGCCCUUUUGUUGGGAAAGAAAAGCAGCAGGUUAAUACCCCGCUGUUCUGACGGUACCCAAAGAAUAAGCACCGGCUAACUUCGUG